rfam:Volvox carteri f. nagariensis unplaced genomic scaffold VOLCAscaffold_195, whole genome shotgun sequence.
GUCCCUAUCGUAUAGUGGUUAGUACAUCACGUUGUGGCCGUGAAGACCCCGGCUCGAAUCCGGGUAGGGACA